rfam:Fusibacter sp. 3D3 DNA, contig: 14.
AUAAUUAAGAGUUUGAUCCUGGCUCAGGAUGAACGCUGGCGGCGUGCCUAACACAUGCAAGUCGAGCGAGAAUUAGGGGAGUGGAGACUUCGGUCAAAGCAAGCUUAAGGAAAGCGGCGGACGGGUGAGUAACGCGUGGGUAACCUGCCUCAUACAAAGGGAUAGCCACUGGAAACGGUGAUUAAUACCCUAUAAGACUACGAGAUCGCAUGAUCUAGUAGCCAAAGAUUUAUCGGUAUGAGAUGGACCCGCGUCUGAUUAGCUAGUUGGUGAGGUAAUGGCUCACCAAGGCGACGAUCAGUAGCCGACCUGAGAGGGUGAUCGGCCACACUGGAACUGAGACACGGUCCAGACUCCUACGGGAGGCAGCAGUGGGGAAUAUUGCACAAUGGGCGCAAGCCUGAUGCAGCAACGCCGUGUGAGUGAUGAAGGUCUUCGGAUUGUAAAACUCUGUCCUAGGGGAAGAAAAAAAUGACGGUACCCUAGGAGGAAGCCCCGGCUAACUACGUGCCAGCAGCCGCGGAAAUACGUCUGUCUCUACUAUACAUAUGACGCUGCCG